GAAACUCUGCGAUGUGCGUUGGCUUUGAUAAUUCAACCGACAUAACAGACAUGGGAGUCUGGGUUUAACAUUGGAUAACAAGCCCCCUUGAGGGGACGUUAGAAUAUGUUAACAAGAAACCCCCCUUUUAGAAGGCGGGUAUGAAUUACCUUAGUUGACGGCAUUGCGGGAAAAAU
rnacentral:other from 1 species